rnacentral:rRNA from 1 species
GACGAACGCUGGCGGCGUGCUUAACACAUGCAAGUCGAACGAUGAACCAGGGCUUGCCCUGGGGAUUAGUGGCGAACGGGUGAGUAACACGUGGGCAACCUGCCCCAGACACCGGGAUAACCUCUCGAAAGAGUGGCUAAUACCGGAUACGACCACUUUGGGCAUCCAACGGUGGUGGAAAGGAUUCUGGUCUGGGAUGGGCCCGCGGCCUAUCAGCUUGUUGGUGGGGUAAGGGCCUACCAAGGCGACGACGGGUAGCCGGGCUGAGAGGGCGACCGGCCAAACUGGGACUGAGACACGGCCCAGACUACUACGGGAGGCAGCAGUGGGGAAUAGUGCGCAAUGGGAGAAAGCCUGACGCAGCGACGCCGCGUGAGGGACGAAGGUCUUCGGAUUGUAAACCUCUUUCAGCAGGGACGAAGCGAAAGUGACUGUACCUGCAGAAGAAGCACCGGCUAACUACGUGCCAGCAGCCGCCGUAAAAC